rnacentral:rRNA from 1 species
GUGUCAAACCAAAAUACCCAACAAGCAUUAACUCUCCCUGAAAAGGAGGUGAUCCAGCUACAUCUUCCAGUACGGCUACCUUGUUACGACUUCACUCCAGCAAAAAGAGGAAUCUGCUCGAGUAGGGGCUUGCUUCUGAUUAGCUAGUUGGUGGGCAAUAGCUUACUAAAGCAAUAAUCAAUAGUUGGUCCGAGAGGAUGAUCAGCCACACUAGGAAUGAGACACGGCCUAGGCUCAUACGGGAG